CGGGAAGUAGCUCAGCUUGGUAGAGCACUUGGUUUGGGACCAAGGGGUCGCAGGUUCGAAUCCUGUCAUUCCGACCA
rnacentral:tRNA from 1 species